rnacentral:tRNA from 1 species
GUUUUAAUAGUUUAUUAAAAACAUUGGUCUUGUAAAUCAAAAAAAAGAUUUUCUUUUAAAACU